rnacentral:rRNA from 1 species
UACAUGGGGUGCAAACGUUGCUCGGAAUCAUUGGGCGUAAAGCGCGUGUAGGCGGUUACUUAAGUCGGAUGUGAAAGCCCUCGGCUUAACUGAGGAAGUGCAUCCGAAACUGAGUAGCUAGAGUACGAAAGAGGGUCGCGGAAUUCCCGGUGUAGAGGUGAAAUUCGUAGAUAUCGGGAGGAACACCGGUGGCGAAGGCGGCGACCUGGGUCGAGACUGACGCUGAUACGCGAAAGCGUGGGGAGCAAACAGG